UACGGAGGGGGCUAGCGUUGUUCGGAAUUACUGGGCGUAAAGCGCGCGUAGGCGGACCUGCAAGUCGGGGGGGAAAGCCCGAGGCUCAACCCCGGAACUGCCUUCGAUACUGCGGGUCUCGAGUCCGGGAGAGGUGAGUGGAAUUCCUAGUGUAGAGGUGAAAUUCGUAGAUAUUCGCAAGAACACCAGUGGCGAAGGCGGCUCACUGGCCCGGUACUGACGCUGAGGUGCGAAAGCGUGGGGAGCAAACAGG
rnacentral:rRNA from 1 species